CCUACGGGAGGCAGCAGUGGGGAAUAUUGCACAAUGGGGGGAACCCUGAUGCAGCGACGCCGCGUGAGUGAAGAAGUAUUUCGGUAUGUGAAGCUCUAUCAGCAGGGAAGAUAAUGACGGUACCUGACUAAGAAGCCCCGGCUAACUACGUGCCAGCAGCCGCGGUAAUA
rnacentral:rRNA from 1 species